GCGUUGGCCCAAUUGAUUGAUGGUGCUUGCACCUGAUUGAUUUUGGCUGUUCAACGAGUGGCGGACGGGUGAGUAACACGUAGGUAACCUGCCCAGAAGCGGGGGACAACAUUUGGAAACAGAUGCUAAUACCGCAUAACAGCGUUGUUCGCAUGAACAACGCUUAAAAGAUGGCUUCUCGCUAUCACUUCUGGAUGGACCUGCGGUGCAUUAGCUUGUUGGUGGGGUAACGGCCUACCAAGGCGAUGAUGCAUAGCCGAGUUGAGAGACUGAUCGGCCACAAUGGGACUGAGACACGGCCCAUACUCCUACGGGAGGCAGCAGUAGGGAAUCUUCCACAAUGGGCGCAAGCCUGAUGGAGCAACACCGCGUGAGUGAAGAAGGGUUUCGGCUCGUAAAGCUCUGUUGUUAAAGAAGAACACGUAUGAGAGUAACUGUUCAUACGUUGACGGUAUUUAACCAGAAAGUCACGGCUAACUACGUGCCAGCAGCCGCGGUAAUACGUAGGUGGCAAGCGUUAUCCGGAUUUAUUGGGCGUAAAGAGAGUGCAGGCGGUUUUCUAAGUCUGAUGUGAAAGCCUUCGGCUUAACCGGAGAAGUGCAUCGGAAACUGGAUAACUUGAGUGCAGAAGAGGGUAGUGGAACUCCAUGUGUAGCGGUGGAAUGCGUAGAUAUAUGGAAGAACACCAGUGGCGAAGGCGGCUACCUGGUCUGCAACUGACGCUGAGACUCGAAAGCAUGGGUAGCGAACAGGAUUAGAUACCCUGGUAGUCCAUGCCGUAAACGAUGAGUGCU
rnacentral:rRNA from 1 species